rnacentral:rRNA from 1 species
UACGAAGGGGGCUAGCGUUGUUCGGAAUCACUGGGCGUAAAGGGCGCGUAGGCGGCCUUCUAAGUCGAACGUGAAAUCCCCGGGCUCAACCCGGGAACUGCGUCCGAUACUGGAAGGCUUGAAUCCGGGAGAGGGAUGCGGAAUUCCAGGUGUAGCGGUGAAAUGCGUAGAUAUCUGGAGGAACACCGGUGGCGAAGGCGGCAUCCUGGACCGGCAUUGACGCUGAGGCGCGAAAGCCAGGGGAGCAAACGGG